GGUGAUAAAGAGCCGCCUGUUCCAGAUGGGAUCUCUGCUGGGCCGCCCUGUGGCUGUAUACCUGCCAGCGCUGAAACCAGUUACGGAGACGACCUGAAGUGGAUGGAGACCAGACAACUCUAAGAUUUUCAUUCGCAGGGCCACUGUCUAGAGCAUUUCUGAGAAGAGGCCAGCCUUCACCAAAUGCAGCUGCUGCCUCAGCAGGGAACUACAUGGCCACCAGCAGGUAGACCUCUGCCACUCAAGAGCUCCCAGCAACCUGCUUUCUUCAGAACAGCCAUGACCCACAGCCUGCCUCUGCUACUGUUUCUGUCUGAACCACUUCCCUGUGUUAUGUCCCAACACCACGCUCAUCCGUAGCACGGGACCUGCAGGGUAUUUCCACACAUCCACCCCAGCCAAGGAAACGAGGUGGUUUGGGGCCAUUUCAAACUAUGGACAACCAAGGACCUUGCAAUCUGCGAGCCAGUGAGUAAAAUCUGGCACUCUUCCAAUAAAGACACCGAAUCUCA